rnacentral:rRNA from 1 species
CCCUUAGAUGUUCUGGGCGGCCCGCGCACUACAAUGGCGUGUGCAGCGAGUGCCGAAGUAGAGUUUUCCGAGGUAUUCUUGCAAUGCUCGUUUUGAUGGGGAUAGACCCUUGCAACUGUUGGUUUUGAACGAGGAAUUCCUUGUAAGCAUGGUUUAUCAUCCGACGCUGAAUGCGUCCCUGCCCUUUGUACACACCGCCCGUCGCGCCUACCGAUGAGUCGUCCGGUGAAGUUCGUAGACCUCGUGAUCGCGGAUCACUGGGGGAAGCAAAAUGAACCUCGCGGUUUAGAGGAAGGAGAAGUCGUAACA